CCUACGGGGGGCAGCAGCCGCGGUAAUACGGAGGAUGCGAGCGUUAUCCGGAUUUAUUGGGUUUAAAGGGUGCGCAGGCGGAAUGUCAAGUCAGCGGUAAAAUUUCGGGGCUCAACCCCGUCGUGCCGUUGAAACUGGCGUUCUUGAGUGAGCGAGAAGUAUGCGGAAUGCGUGGUGUAGCGGUGAAAUGCAUAGAUAUCACGCAGAACUCCGAUUGCGAAGGCAGCAUACCGGCGCUCAACUGACGCUCAUGCACGAAAGCGUGGGUAUCGAACAGGAUUAGAAACCCUGGUAGUCCGUUAGAU
rnacentral:rRNA from 1 species